CGCAGCCAGCGUUGCUGUCACCGCCCACUCCUUGAUUCCUUGUGUCCUCAUCGCAUCUGCCCUACGUUCUCGGGAUCAAAAAUGAAGAAAGGCUCGACCACUGGAUGUCGGCCAAUGCUCUCCGAGAAGCGUCGGGAGGCUUUGGGCAAGAUGUACUCCCUUGUCGGCACGCACAGUGCGGUGAAGCUUUGCCGCUGGCAAAAGUCGAUGAUGAGGGGGCGUGGUGGAUGCUACAAGUGGACUAUGUACGGCAUCAAGUCACAUCGGUGCAUGGAGGCGACUCCGAGCAUGGCAUGCGCGAACAACUGUGUCUUUUGCUGGCGCCUCAACUCAAAUCCGACGGCAGCAGAGUGGAAGUGGAUGGUCGACCCGCCAAAGGAUGUCGUGGAAGGUAUGAUAUCGAGUCAUCAAGCCCUGAUCAACGGUGUGCGUGGGAUGCCCGGCGUAACGGAUGAAGCUCUCGAGGAGGCAUUGGCUCCGCGCCACUGCGCUCUGUCCCUUGUCGGCGAGCCGAUCAUGUACCCGUACGUGAACGAGUUUCUUGACUUGUUGCACGCCAAAUCGAUAUCCUCCUUUCUUGUCAACAAUGGUCAGUUUCCGGAUGCCAUCCGCAAUCUGGCUCCGGUAACGCAGCUGUACCUGAGCGUAGAUGCUCCGAACCAGAAAACAAUGAAGAUUCUUGACCGCCCUGUGCUUUCAGAUUACUGGGAACGCUUCAACGAGAGCGUGAACAAUAUGCGGGAGAAGAAGCACCGCACCGUGUUUCGGCUCACCAUGAUUGAAGGAUUCAACAUGGAGCCGGAGAACCUCCCCGAGUACAAAGAGUUGUUUGAUCGAGGGCAGCCGCACUUCAUCGAGGUCAAGCGCCUCACGCCGGCUUUUUCCGGCAAUCACAACACCAUUCUUCGCAUCAAGAACGUUCCCUCAUGGGACAAAAUGAAGGCCUUUGCCCAGCAGCUCUGCAGCGCGAUUGGCGACGGAACGCAAUACACGGUGGCCAGCGUCCACGAGCACUCCGGCUGCAUCUUGCUGGCGCAUCAGCGGUUUGUCAUCGAUGGCCGAGUGCACAGCUGGAUCGAUUAUGACAAGUUUGACACCAUCGUUCAAGACCCCUCACGAGCUGCGGAUAUGGUACCGGAAGACUACUUGUUGCCUACACCGACGUGGGCACUGUUCGACUCGCCUGCCGAGGGGUUUGAUCCAGCACAAAAGCGUCACGUCUCCAACAAGCGGCGCAAGCACAUGGAAAGCGUGGCGGCGGCCUCGCCGCAGCUCGACGGGUGUUGCUUCACUAAAGCCGAGUCUACUGUCGUUGAAUCUGCUGAGACGUAGUCGCUAUCUUCACAACACACUAAAAGUAGUUCUUGUGCACUUGGAAAGCGAUAGGAUGCUAAGGAACUCAAUCCAACCAAGAAAUGCGCAGACAAUAGCUUCACAAUGAACUCCUGCCAGCGACUGCGAAGUACGCGCGGCUGUGUGUUGUCAUCUUAAUACCACUCGGCAGAUUGAAAAGUUGCGGCUUUCCAUCGGGUGUGUAUACGGAUGCUUCCAUCAGUCUUGGUGAUGUCUAUCGGUGCGCGCGCCCAUUGCGUUGGUGUGCGCCGGGGCUCGGCACGGAAAUUCCUGACUUCCAAAGCGAGAGAAGAAAAGUCACACUGUGUGCAUGUGCGUGUGGGCGCCUUAUAUGUAUUUCUCUUUGUUCGGCUUCUUCUACGUCACCCUCUUUCCGUUUCCUUCUCGCUCUCCGUUUACCUCUAACUCUUUGCUGUUCUCACCCUCCACGCACAUCCACAUACACAAAUGUGUAAG
rnacentral:misc_RNA from 1 species